rnacentral:lncRNA from 1 species
GAUCGGUGCAUAACGUUUGCGCACACUUUUUUUACCGAUAACGUUAGCGCACACUUUUCACGAAUAUCAUUUGCGCACACUUUUUACCGAUAACGUUUGCGCACACUGCACUAUUUGGCAACGCUGCAAUGAUGCUCGAGUAGUAUCGCUUCGUGAUAAGACAAUUCAACGGACGGAUAAUUUAUAAACGGACGAGGGGAAAUAACAGCAAGCUUUGCGGGGAGUUUUACUAUCAUCAUCCGAAUGUCUACGAAGGCUCUCAACAAUUUUUUAACGCUCACAAUAUAGUGUCUUUGAAAAUUAAAUCUGUGCGAAAUGAUGAGGUGUUCACUAAACGGAAUGAUCAACAAAAAAAAGAUGAUGAAAUUAUUGUUUUAACCAAUUCGUAUCUCGAUAAGGACCUGAAAAUUACGGAGUUUCUGGAAAUGGUUCCUGAAGUUAAAUACCCCGACAAAAAUGAUUCAGACGAAGAAAAUAACCCGGAGGCUGUAAAUGACUCUUUCAAUGCAGACGAGCCUGAUGAAUCCAUUUCUGAAAAUGGUGCUGAUGAAACUUGCUCUUUAAAUACAGUGACAGCAUUUUUAGCUGAAGUAACAGCAAAAAAUCUGUCAACCACAUCGCCCAUCGAUUGGACGCUAUUGGGUUGCCCGUUUCGACUCACAGAAGUUGUAGUAUCCGAACAAUUGUUCACUCGAAGACAAUAUAUUUUAGACCGCGCACUGCUAAAAUCCUAGCUACUUUCGGAGAUCAGCGCUCAGAUUCGCCUUAUGAUGAAUUGAUACCACUAUUGAGGCUCUUCUAAAUCCAUUUCUGCCUAUAUCAACAACGGAAGGCGAAUAUUAAACGUGAUUCUAAGAAGUGACCAUGAAGUCUAUUUCUCUAUUACGUUUUAUGUUGUAUACUACCCUGUUGCCAAGUUUUUACGUUUACCGCAGAAAAGUCAUCCUGACUCUGGCCAAAGAGUUGAGCGAUUGGUUUAGCAGCCCUUGCUUCAUUUGAAAAAAUUGCCCAGCAAGACGCUCACCCUGACAUUCAUCGGUCAUCAUUUGGCGAAUUUUAUUGGCUUUUAUGCUUAACGAGUUGCUCAUCAAUCAUCAUCAGAAGUAGCGCUGACCUUUUUUAACUUUUGCUUUACCUUGUUUGGAAAAUAUAUGGUCUCUUG